ensembl:lncRNA
GGGGGGGAUUUGUAGCUGCUGUUGCUCUGCCUCCCUCUCCCACUGCUGCCUCUCCGUCCCCCAGGAUCUCCAUCACGCGGGUGACGGCCGACAUCUCCCUGGCCAAGCGCUCCGUCCUGAACAACCCCAGCAAACACACCAUCAUCGAGCGCUCCAGCACGCGCUCCAGCCUGGGUAAGGAGGCGCCGCGGCGGCUCCGUCGCGUCGGGCAGCCCGCGGCGYGCUCGCCCUGCCGCCUGGCCGAGCAGGCGGUGGCUCCCAAGCGCGCAUCUGUAUCAGCCGGGGACCCCGGCAGCCUGGCGUUCCCCGUUCCCCAUCCCGUCUCGUCCCGGGGUGCUGCUCCCACCCGCUCCGGGGCACGGCUUGUCCCCCCCCCCCCUUCAGCACGCCGGGGGACGAGAUGCUGGGGCACAGCCUGCAUCUCCGCUGCCGCGGGGCGACUAACGUGCGCGAACGCAGCGCGCGCGCGCGGGGUGCGAGGGGAGCCGGGGCCUUCCGCCCCCGCUGGCCGAUUUGACUCAGUCUCUCUCCCCCUCCUCCCCCCUUCAUCUUCUCUUUCGUUUUUCUUUCCCCUUUUUCUCCUUUCUUUUGGGUUUCCUCCCCUCUGCGCUGCUUACUUCCUCCCCUGCUCCUGAUACAGAUGUCUUGGGUAUGUAGCUUGGACCCGUCGGGACCCCCGCCAGCCCCCUGCCUGGCCGGAGGCGGUGGGGACGCAGCCCCUUGCAGCCCCCGCUGCCUGGCCGUGACCAGCCUUGGGGAUGCUCCUGUUGGAGCACCGCCGGGUCUGGCCACCCCACAGCCUGYGGGUUAGGGAGACCCCGGUCACGCAGCCUCACCCAACCUCCCACCCCACGCACAUGUGGUCCAGGGGUGGCUUAGCCCCCCCCCCCCCCCACCCCAGGGACCUGCAGCACCCCAAGGAUCAGGGCCACCCCGGGGGCCUGCACCCUGCCCCAGGGAUCAGGGCCGUCCCUGGGAUUGGGGCCUCCGCAGGGAUCUGCACCCUCCUGGGACUGGGACCACCCCAGGGACCUGCACCCUGCCCCAGGCUUUGGGGCCAUCCCUGGGAUUGCUCUGGAGAUCUGCUCCCCCCUCCCUGGAUUGCCCCCUCCCAAGGAUCUGCCCCCUGAGAUUGGGGCCAUCCCUGGGACGGGGGCCACACCUGRGCACCUGCUCCCCACCCUGGGAUUGGGGCCAAGCCCGGAAUCAGACCCCUCUGGAAUCGGGGCUCUCUGGGCACCUGUGCCUGCCGCCCCCAGGAUCGGGGGCCUCCCUGGGGAUUGGGGUCCCUCAGGGAUCUGCACCCUCCACGGCCCCCCACGUUACGCUUCCCUGGGGGCUGCCAGGAUCCCCCCCCCCACGCAGGGCAGGCGGGACCCAGACCCGCUUCUUUCCACGCCGGGUGCUCCCACGCCUGUCCGGAGCCCUCGGGGAACCCCGGCAUCCGGGCGGCCGCGGCAGCGAGGGCUUCGGGCGCUCCUGGUGCCGGGCGAGGGCAGGCUGGGACGAGGGGUGGCCGCGGACCCGGCCAGCAUCUCCGCCCCGGCAGGGCCCCGCAGCGGGAGAGCCGGUCGGAGAGGCCGUGCCUGAGGCUGGGGCACGCGCGGCGCUCGCCCCCGGGGCAGGAGGCAGAGGGGACACGUGCGUCCUGUGUUGUCUGUCGCUAAAUCUUCCGGCGCGGGGGGACGCCGCCGCUGUCAGCCCCGACCCUGCAGCCCCCCCGUUCUCCCACCCCACGCAACCCCUCCGUUUCCCUCUUUGCUCCGUUCCCGCUCUGGCGAACCCCCCCCCGGAGCCGGGCCGGCAGGCCAGGCUGGGCAGGGCGCAUGCGCCGCGCCGGCAGCUCUGCGGGAUGCGCGUGCGUGUGCGUGGCGUGCGUGUGCCUAACCCGGCGUGGCCGCUAACCUGCGCCUCCCUGCACGGUGUGAUGCUUCUCCUAACCAGGGCCCGUUCCUAGUGCACGGGGAGCCGCCGCGCGAGGGGCAGCACGGCGGCAGCCUCC